rnacentral:lncRNA from 1 species
GUUAAGAGCGCUUACUGAUUUUGCAGAGGACCCAGCUUCUGUUCCCAGCAGCAAUGUGGUAGGUUACCCCCAUUGGUAACUCGAGUUCCAGGGGAACCUUUGUAAGCACCUGACACAUGUGCUGCACAUAUACACUUUCAGGCAAAACACUCAUGUGUAUUGUAAAAAAUCCUCAACAGCAGUUUAAAGACAGUGAUCUCAAACUAAUGAUGUACAAGUUUCUAGAAGCAUAGUAAAUGGCAAGAAAUAAUAAAAAUUAGGACAAAAAUAAAUAGAAACUAAAAGAGCAAUAGAAAAAAAUCAAUGCAACAAAAUGUUGAUUCUCUGAAUUGAUAAACAAAAUUGACAAAGGCCCAGCCAAACUAAUUAAAAGUCAAUAAACUUAGAGGUGAGCCUUGCUUUAUUACAGUGGACUCCAGAGAAUCCAGGGAGCAUGGAGGUGACUGAACAAUAUGGAAAAGUGAAAAUGGUAUUUUUGUCUUUAAGGUGAAUUCAAAUACCACAUUUCAUAGGGAAAAAGUCUUCUUUAACACCCAUCAGUACUUUAAUGAUUAAGUACAGAAUAAACACAGAAUAUCAUAGAUUAGCUAAAUUUAGGAGCUCAGCUAUCCACUCUGCUUUUAUUGCUCAUCAUUGUGCUUUUGGGGGAAGGAAAUGCAGGAGGUCAUAGUGAGUGUUUAUUCAGGAGUCCCAGGCAGAUGGUAGGCCUAGACCCUCGGGAGAUGAAUCAGAGUGGGAAGAGCCAUGAUUAUUAUCUGAUGACUUUUGCUAACCUACUGUGCUCACCUCUGAUUCCUCAUUUCCUUUUUUUUUUUUUUAAAGGAGAGCCCAGAAGAAAUGACAGAACACCUGAGCUCUAUUCAGGUAAAUAAACUUACUCCCCAAACAGAAGGACUUUAUGUAGCUUAGAGAUUUGUAUGCCUUUUCUUUUUUUUCUUGGUCUUACUCCUACUGCCUCCAAAAAGUGAAAAUGAAAUGGUUGCCUUCAUAAUGCAGUCAAAUAACUUUUAUCGAGAUUUAUCGGCAUAGACCUAUGUUGUAUCUAGGAUAUAACUCUUCCUAGUUUGACUCUUGCUAUUCUGAUCAUUCAUUGUCUCAUGGAAUAGUAGUUGUAUGUAUCUAAAACGAACCUGAUAUAACUACACUGUGUACAUACUGUGUUUUCAUUAUCCUAGAAAAUCCUCCUGUGCACACAGCAUAGACAGAGAGUGACAAAAUAUCUUUCGUGUCCUUUUAGAGACUGAAUUUCUAGAAUAUGAGAAUAUUGGAGCAUUUCCAUUUCGUAAUUCUUUGUUCUGAUGAAUGUUUUACCAAUAUAAUGAAAGCAAUAUUUAGCGCUUCGAUUGAUUUAGUGAUUUAGUUCUAAUCAUGAACUAAGCUGGUUUCAAUAUGCAUCUAGUAUGUCUUAAACUUUUCUGGGGAAAGAAAAGGAAGUAGGGAACAAGUAUCCAUGUUCAAUCAGUAAUUGUCCCUUUUUUUUGUACCCGCAGGGGAAGAAAUGGAACUGGUAUUUGGACUAUUUAUAUUCAGAGGGUUUUCAGGGCUUAAAACUUUUCAUAAAAAGCAGUGUCCAUAGUUCUGUACCCAAACCAGAGGAAAACACAGAGUGAAAAUUGGCAUAAACAAACGCCAUGCUGGACUACAUUUCUCACUGCUAGAGAGGCUAAGUAGCUCAGCAUGAGUUUCCAUUUCCCAAGCCGACUGGCAUUUUUAAGGAGCACUAAAAGCCUUCUGUCCAUAGCUCAGGAGAGCCUUGGGGUUGACUAACUUAAUUUUAGUAUUCAGAUUUUAAGGUUACCAAUGAAAAACAACCCCUUCAUCAUCCAAUCCUGCCUUCGCUGACAUAGACAUGAAGAGACACAUCUGCUUUCUAGUAGGCAAUUUGCUUUGCAUUUUCGUCUGCUGUGUUAGUGGAAAAGAACAAGUAAUAUCUGAAGUUACUCCUCAGACAUACUUAUGCAGAACCCUCUGCAGUCUCUGAACUCCUGGGGAUAUUUUGCUUUUCUAAGAUACUAAUAAUAGAAUGCAGCACAUGUGACUCUUAACAGUCCCGGGUAGCUCAUGCUUCCCGGGGCCUGUAUUGGCAGUAAGUUUAUGAGGGAAGGGAGGUGAAAAGAUAAAGAAGUUCCAUUUUAUUGAUUUGAUUUCUUGAAAGCACUAUAUUUGAAUGUUUAUGUGUAUGUAUGUAUUUAUGUAUAUAUUCAGAUUUUAAAUUGCUGGGCCUAAAUAAACAUCUUCAGCUUCAGGGGUAUUUCCGAAUUUUUUUUUUUUAAUUUAUACCAGGAAAGAUCCAUUUUCACUAAAAAUUUGUUCUAAAAUGUUGUUUCACUACUGAACAACUUCUAUUUAAUACAUCUACAUUGGUAAUAACACCUGACUUUUCAGUGGAGACUGUGAAAGCCGAAAGGGACUGAACAGAUGUUCUAUAAGCUUCCAGAGACUACAGAUGCCAGCAUAGACUACUAUACCCAGCAAAACUAUGAUCCCAGUCUCCAGCGAGAGAAAACCAUUUCACAAGAAAGCACAUUUAAGCAACUCCUGUUCACCCAUCCAUCUCUACAGAUGGCACUAGAAGCAAUUCUUCACCCUGAAGAGAAGCAUACAAUUGAGAGGACACAAGGAGUAAAUACCCCUAGAGCACUUAGUCGAAAUGGGUGGGGGUGCAGGUCCCUUACGACAACAACAACAACAAUAAAUGAAAUUAAUAAGCACUACUCAUUAAUAAUUUAAUAUUAAUGGCCUCAGUUCUCCAAUAACAUGACUUAGAGACUGGAUUAAAAAAACAGGAUUCGUCUUUCUGCUGAAUUCAAGAAACAUACCUUACCACCAAGGCCAAACAUCACCUUAUCAUAAAAGAAUGGGGGGGGAAAAAGGUAUUUCAAGCAAAUGAAUCAAGCAGCAAGCAGGUAUAGCUGUUCUAAUGUCUGACAAAACAGACUUCAAGCCAAAGUAAUUAGAAGAGGUACAGAUAAAGGAAAAAUCCAUCAAGAGGAUAUUCCAAUUACAGUUAAUGUACUGUAUUAGUUAGGGUUCUCUAGAGAAACAGACCUGAUAAGACAAAUCUAUUUGGAGUUUAUUAGAGUGGUUUACAGGUCAUGGAUCCAGGAGUUCAAUCCACAAGGCUGAAUGUCUCAACAGGUCUUUAGUAUACACCAGAAUCCUGAAGAAGUAGGCUCUAAUACUGGUGAAGGAAUGAACUUGUCAGUGAGAGUGAGGGCAAAACGUUUUCUUCCUUGUCUUCUAGUGAUAUUGGCUUCCAUGAGAAGGUGUGAUACAUAGUUGAGGUGAGUCUUCCUAGCCCUGGUGAUCUGACUAGCUAAAAAGCACGCCUAGGUAUGUCUAGCUCCUGGGCUUUUAGUUAAUUCCAGUAGUCAAGAUGACAAUUAGGACUAGCCACCACAUACACCAAGUUCAGGUCCCAGCACCCACACAGAGGGUCACGGUCACCUGCAACUGCACUUACAGGAGAUCCAAUGUCCUCUUCUGUCCUCCUUGGUCACUGAGUAUACAUGAGGUACACAUACAUACACGCAGGCAAACAUUCACCCAUAUAUAAGUAAAUAUAUAUUUUAAAGAGGACAGAAAAGG